UAAAAGAGGAACUGGCCUUGGAGAGAAGAAGGAAGUGCAGUUACAUUGAGGAAGGAUCAAAACAUCAAAACUGGGUUGCCGUUUUUACAGACAAAUUCAGGUGCAUAGCGAAGGCGAAAGGCUUCGAGAAGCCUGGGAUUUCUCUUCAAAUUCUGAUACAAAAGCUGGGAUGAAGAACUGUCUAUCUAAUUUCAGUUUAUUUAAUGGCAGAUAUUGGAAAUUUCACAGUAAAAAGGAAGACAUUUUUAUCAGACAUAUAAGUGCCAUAAGCCCUCGACAAAGAUCUUUACAUCAUCCGUAAAUGAAUCAUGCAAUAUUGAAUUUAAAGUUUGUGAUUGAAAUUGAUUACUUUGGUAUUGCAUUGAGUGAGCGCUAGAUACAACAGACUGUUUUGUGCGCGGGAGCUGAGGAUCUCCACGACCAGUUAAGCUCUGUGGUCGGAGGUAUUUAAAUUCAAGGCAAUCAUUGUUAUUGCACGAAAUGUUUCCAGCUGGAUACAGUAAGGCCUGAAAAGUUUGUGUGUUCGCUGUUUUUGAACGACACAUUUGACCGAGUUUAUUUGAUGUGGGCCAGUGCAUAGUUAAUUGUUAGGUUAGUUAAAUUCGUACAACCAUUGUUGCAUAUCUAACUAACGUGUAAGACAGGAUUGCGAAAAAGACAAGUGUCAUUUUGUUUAUCAGAAUUGGCUACAUGACCUGGUGGUGGCAGAUUGUAGCCGUUUACGGUCGUCUCUAAGCCUAGGGGCUAGAUAGGGAAUGAGUAUAUGCAUUUUAAACACUUAAUAUUUUGCAUGAUAAAAAUAAAUAAACUGUCAAGAUGAAACUCCUGGAGAAUUCUAGUUUUGAAGCCAUAAACACCAGACUCACCAUUGAAACGGGGGACUGUCAGAUAAUAGGAAGGAUCGAGAGCUACUCUUGCAAGAUGGCAGGCGAGGACAAGCAGAUGUUCAAGCAGUUCUGUCAGGAGGGACUGCCUCAUGUCCUGGAAGCCCUGUCCCCUCCACAGUCCUUAGGAAUAAGCCCCAACAAGUUGAGCCAGAGUCAGAGUGGAGAUGAGGGGGAAGGGCCUCUCUCUGACAAGUGCAGCAGGAAGACCCUCUUUUACCUGAUCGCCACCCUCAACGAAUCCUUCCGCCCCGACUAUGACUUCAGCCGCACCAAGAGCCACGACUUUAGCAGAGAGCCCAGCGUUAACUGGGUGUUCAACGCGGUGAACAGUAGUCUGUCGGCGGCGGCUGGGGAGGAUUAUAGUCUGCUUCAGCCCCAGCUGUGGGAGGCCAUCGACGCUGAGAUCUGCCUGUCCGAGUGUGACAUCUACAGCUACAACCCAGACCUGGACUCUGACCCGUACGGAGAGGAGGGCAACAUGUGGUCCUUCAACUACUUCUUCUACAACACAAGGCUGAAGAGGAUCGUCUUCUUCACGUGCCGCUCGGUCAGGCAAGUCAGUUAAGAACAAAUUCCUAUUUACAAUGAUGGCCUACGCCGGUCAAACUCUAACCCGAACGAUGAUGGGCCAAUUGUGCUCCGCUCUGAGACUCCCAUUCACGGCCGGUUGUGAUACAGCCUGGAAUCCAAUCAGGUUUAUUCAUGGCCCCACGGGACUCUGGCAUUGGCAACGAACUGGACCUGGAGCUGGAUGAAGAGAGCAGGUAUGGUGCCCUGUGUUCCCAGUGAAGUCCCAGUCUCAUACAGGACCAGACAGUAUACUGGAUGUCUGUCUGUACCCACAAUACCAUUUCUUUUACAACUCAUCUUAAACUCAUCAUAUUUCGUGUUGGGAUUAUACUUCUGUUUUUUUUUCUGACUUUGUGUGGUGAACCUUGCUCUAUUUUACUAUGGAAAUCAGACUAUGAGCUUAGAUCUGUUACUCAUGUUCAGAUGAGGAUUAUUCCCAUUUGUUUGUGUUUAUCAUUUUAAUUUUCCAUCGCUACGUUCCCCUUACCUUGAUUAUCUGAAGCAAAAGCUUUGUUUGGUGUGUUUGACCUGGUAUUAGAGCAUGUCCUGGCACUCAUUAAUUUGCAACUUAUUUUACAUUCUCUUUGCUGGUUUUGAUAAUGCAUUAAUUAAGCAAAGUUUUAGAUUUUUAUUAUGUUUUUCAAGCUUUACCAUUCCAAAGUGUGAGCUGUUCUCAUACCAAAUUGGCACUCAAGGUUUAGGUAUUGGGACAUUCUCUGACUGCAUGCUUGAGUGCAUGUUUGAACACCAGGGGGCAGACUCAAUUUAGGUUUCCUCCACUGUAGCUACAUCCAUAAAAUAUUGGCCAACCAAUACUGUCACUUCAAUCUCAGCUGAUGGAAAAGUCAUAUAACAGCUUGAAUCAGUCUGCCUCUUGGUGAUGUUCUACCUUCCAUACCAAUGCUACUCAAGCCUACAGUUGUUUAUUUGUUUUUAUUUAGUGACAAGUGCAGUCUAGUUUUAUGGGUCAAGCCAGCAAAUACGAUUCUGCUGUAUCUGUUCCAAAAGCACUCGAGAAUCAAGACUAGAUUCUGAAUUCCAUCGUGUGUUUUAAGGACUUAUGUGACUUCUCAUAUGUAGUACAAACUCUGCUUGUAGAGUAUACUGUUUGAAUUUACAUAUAUUGUAUUUUAAUAUAACUUAAAGCCUUUUUUAGCUAUUGCUUUAGUUGAAGCAUUUUUUGUGUGUGUUAGAGCAGUGCCCCCUGUGUGUGGCAUUUUUAAAUGUAAUUUUAGACAGUCUCAAGACAAAUCUAAAGUCUGAUUUAUAAUUUCCACUGCAAAAACUCCCUGUAGAGAUCAGUGAUGCCUAUGGUCCAACUUUCCUGAUCAAAUGAAGCAUGUACUGAAUAUACAAUAAUGCAUUUGUGACUAAUGGGUGGACUGAAGAGCAAGGAUACCUAUUUGGGCUCAGUAGCGAGUGGUUGGUUAGUAGUCUUUCAAUGGUCACAGCUCCUGUAUCAGUAUUUUGGUUGUCCUAUUGACUACCAGCUGGACAGUGUUACUGUAUGUGGCAUACAUACAUCUUGCUCUUGCACCUUUUUGUAUAAGUCAAAUGUGAAAGACUCAUAUCCUUCGUACAUUAGGUACAAAAUGGUAGAAUGAUACAGUAGGUAUUGUAAAGUUUAAUUUAGUCCCUUCUAUGUGAUGUAUAUCUAUCUGCCUCUAGUGAUGUUGAAACCACAAACGUAUUCCUGAAUUUGAUUUCAAAUGUCAACAACAUCCUAAGUUAUCAGCAUAUUGACUUUUGACAAACACUUUGUGCAGGUAUACAUGUCUACAGUACACAUUUUCUUGUUGAUUAUCUUUGUCGACAGAGCAGCUGUUUUAGAUUUGUGUGAAAAUAAGGUGGUUGUCAUGGCAAGGACACGCAAGCUUAUUGCCUCCGACUUCCGGAUGUUAAGGUCCAAUUAAAUACUAAGAAGCGAGAUAAUAUUGUUGCGGAACUCUUGCAUCAUUGGCACAUUUAUUUUAGUCUUGUGCUAAUGACUGGCAGCUUACAAGACCUCAUACUUGUGGUUUUAUUUCACUAAACUUGUGUCCAUGUGAUUUGUCACCAUGUAUAAUAAAGGUCUUGACUAAAACUG